rnacentral:misc_RNA from 1 species
UGAAAAGUUUUGGCCAGCGGCCCAGGGAAAUUUCAUUUGACAUUUGUCCUAGAGUUGCAAAAUCCAUUUUGGACUCAUUGAGAGAGUAAUGCUCCUAAACUCAUUACUCAUCAUAGAGGGAAACACGAUACCGCCAAUCGUUGGUUGAGCCCAUAUGCCUGUAAUGAGGCAUGACCAACCUAUGCUGUGCCAAGGAAAGUAUUGCUUCACCACUUUGCGGUUCUUGGCAGACAGAAAAAGAAGAAGAAAACAAAACUGGAAUUCAAGCAACGCAUUAGAAAUAAUUUCUAACAAGGUAUAGCUUUGGCCGCAUAAUAACAAAGUCUUCACAUCCUUUGCACAACAAGAAGCAUUGCUACAAAGCAUUAGUUAUCAUGUAUCAAAACUAGAGUAGAUGCCACUUUCCCUUAACAACCUCUUCUCUUCUUCAACAUAAUUCUUCCCCCGACUAGCCUGACCAAGAUCUCUUUUCCUCUUCUCCUUCUGGGAGAAGGAUAAAUUUUUCUUCUCUUUGGUAGUUUGCACAUUCGUCAGUUGCUCACCAUCCAUUAUUGCAGCUCUGGUUUUUUGUCGUUCUUCAUAAGAUUCUUCAACCUCCUUGACCUCUCGAUGUUCUUUGCCAGUAGACCAAGACCAGUCUUGUGGUGUGUCAUCUUUUGGUGGGGGCAUACUCAGGACAGACAGUCCACCUUUAUAGCCAUGUUGCCUCAAAGCAUCAAAAUCCACAGCACCACUCUUACGCCUUCCAGACUUGCCUACUUAUAACAUAUGCAGAUCAAAAGAAACUUAAAAUCAGAAUUUUGCAUCAAUAAUAAGAAAUUGAGUGGAGGAUUUUACCAGAAUGCAUAUAGGAAUGACCACAAGAUGAGUGGCAGAAAUACAAAUAUUAAUAUAGAUAUCUGAUAUUACAAUAAUGAAUAAGAUUAAAAAUGAUCAUAUCCACCAAAGGAUGCAUGUAGCACACAUUGGAAAUGAAAUGAGAGAAGAUCAAAGAAAAUGGUUUGAUUAUGUCCAACCUGGAACAUCAAACACUGCAGUACAGAGGUGUCAUUGUCAUAAGUUAGUGGGAAAGAGUGAGAAGGCAAAUGGUAGACUUAAAAAUGUCCUAGAGGAAAACAAUAUCAAAAGACUUAAAAUUUUCGAAUAUUGAUAUGGACUUGGUUUCAAAUAAAGCUACAUGAUAAAAAAGAAAAUCUAUAUAACCGACAACAAUUAUGAGAUUAAGGCUUAGUUUUGCUUGUUGUUGAUAUUUGCAAGGCUAAGUCCAACAUUUCAAUGUCAUAGCUGCAACCAUGUUGAUCCAGGAAUGAACAUGGUCAAAUAAAAGUGAAAGUAAAACUCAAAAUUUGACAUCUUUUCUCAACUUUGUCUCGCCAAUUCAUUCAUAAAUGCCCAUUUGGUAUUUGCUAUAAAUCUUUUAAAACAGUACCAAAUUACAAAUCAAUUAAAACUAGACUCAUCCAUCCACCUUAACAAUUGCAAUCAUAAAGCAUAUCACUAAUCUCAUCCAUUAUUUCUCUUACAUCAGUAGUAAUGACACUAAAUAUACAUAUUAAAAAUGAAAUUUCAAAUAGGAGCUCUAACAGAAUACCUUUAGAUUUCUUUUCCUUGGAUUUUUGGCCUUUGUUAGCUUUCUUUCCAUCCGUUCCUUUCUUCUCAUCACCAUCACUAUCUGAAUGGGAUGACGAAGAUUCAUCAGACGAUGAAUCAUCAUCUUGAUCGCUCCAUGGCAUUGGCCUCUUCAUGGCACAGUAUAAAUGUAUAGCCCUGAAGCUGGAAAAUCACGAGAACGCUCCUGCACCGGAUCGACGGAGGAGGGCUUUAGGGUUUCUGCUUUGCGAGGCAAUGCCUCCAGGCGCGAGAGAGUGCACAGCAGGUUAGCUAUUUUCCU